UCUACGGGGGGCUGCAGUGGGGAAUAUUGGACAAUGGGCGAAAGCCUGAUCCAGCCAUGCCGCGUGUGUGAAGAAGGCCUUCGGGUUGUAAAGCACUUUCAGUGGGGAAGAAAGCCUUGGGGCUAAUACCCUCGAGGAAGGACAUCACCCACAGAAGAAGCACCGGCUAACUCCGUGCCAGCAGCCGCGGUAAUACGGAGGGUGCGAGCGUUAAUCGGAAUUACUGGGCGUAAAGCGCGCGUAGGCGGUCUGAUAAGCCGGUUGUGAAAGCCCCGGGCUCAACCUGGGAACGGCAUCCGGAACUGUCAGGCUAGAGUGCAGGAGAGGAAGGUAGAAUUCCCGGUGUAGCGGUGAAAUGCGUAGAGAUCGGGAGGAAUACCAGUGGCGAAGGCGGCCUUCUGGACUGACACUGACGCUGAGGUGCGAAAGCGUGGGUAGCAAACAGGAUUAGAUACCCCGGUAGUC
rnacentral:rRNA from 1 species